ACAGUUGAAUGUCAGGAUUCUCCCUGCGACACAAAUGCGACCUGUACUAACACCGAUGGCUCCUUCAUAUGUGAAUGUUUUGAUGGUUACCAAGGGGACGGCUUUAACUGCUCGGACACAGAUGAAUGUCAGGAUUCUCCCUGCGACACAAAUGCGACCUGUACUAACACCGAUGGCUCCUUCAUAUGUCAAUGUUUUGAUGGUUACCAAGGGGACGGCUUUAACUGCUCGGACACAGAUGAAUGUCAGGAUUCUCCCUGCGACACAAAUGCGACCUGUACUAACACCGAUGGCUCCUACAUAUGUGAAUGUUUUGAUGGUUACCAAGGGGACGGCUUUAAUUGCUCGG